rnacentral:tRNA from 1 species
GCAGGUGUAGUUCAGUGGUAGAACAUUACCUUGCCAAGGUAAAUAUGCGGGUCCGAUUCCCGUCACUUGCUCCA